rnacentral:rRNA from 1 species
UGUGGGAGGUACCGAUCGCAAGAAUUUAAANUGCAAAUUGAACUGGNNCGGGGGACCCAGCCCCGAUGGCGGUGGAUGAUGAGGAUUUGAAUUCGAUGCAACGCGACAUAACCUUAUCUUACCCAUCACCAUGGCAGGAACACUGAAGAGAUUCCGCGCGUGCUCGAAAGAGAGCCUGCAGCACAGGUACUGUAUGGCUGUCGUCAGCUCGUGUCGUGAGAUGUUGGGUUAAGUCCCGCAACGAGCGCAACCCUUGUCAUUAGUUCAUACGCAAGAGCACUCUAAUGAGACUGCCGGUGACAAACCGGAGGAAGGUGGGGAUGACGUCAAGUCCUCAUGCCCCUUAUGGGUAGGGCUUCACACGUCAUACAAUGGUACAUACAGAGGGCCGCCAACCCGCGAGGGGGAGCUAAUCCCAGAAAGUGUAUCGUAGUCCGGAUUGUAGUCUGCAACUCGACUACAUGAAGUUGGAAUCGCUAGUAAUCGCGGAUCAGCAUGUCGCGGUGAAUACGUUCCCGGGUCUUGUACACACCGCCCGUCACACCAUGGGAGCGGGUUUCACCAGAAGUGGGUAGCUUAACCGCGAGGAGGCCGCCUCCCACGGUGGGAUUCGUGACUGGGGUGAAGUCGUAACAAGGUAGCCGU